GCAGCAUUGCGUAUAAAUAUAUAUGAUCUGCCCACACUUCUGUCCGACGAUUAAGACACACGGAAUAGAAACUGAAUAGAAACAUGAAAAUCAGUCGAACUCUCCUUCCUCUUCUGCUUAUAGCGGGAAUACUCUGUAGCCUAUUCAUUCCCUCUGAAGGUCAGCGUAGGUGGUAUGGUAGAUCUGUGGGGUAUCGUGGUGGCUAUGGAUUAGGUCGUCGUAAUGGUUACGGGGGAUACGGUCGCUAUGGGAGAUACGGCCGAGGUUAUGGUUACGGAAGGAAUAGACGUUAUGGCUAUGGGAGACGACGUUAUGGAUGAAUUUAAAACCUUAAAGAAACGGAACAAGACAAUGAUAUUUCUAUCAUCGAUGUGCAAUUCUUCUAAUGCCUCAUAAAUUUCUUCUAAAAAUAUAAUUGAAACCCGUUGAAUAAAACUCUUUUGAUGUU